CACUUUUACUUAAUUUAUAUAAAAAAGGGUAAACUUCAAAUGCGUGGUUUUGCACUUUUUCAUUUUAGUAUUAUGUAGUUGAAACUGUAUCAAUUUAGUACCUUGUGGGUUUUUUUUUUUUUUUUUUUUUUUUUUUUUUUUUUUUUUUCCUCUAUUAAUUUUUCGUUAAAUCAUAUAUAAAAAAAACUUCAGAUAUCGCAUCUAUAGUUUAUCGAAUAUUCAUUUUAGUACCCUUUAGUUUUAAUUUUAUCGCUAAUUUAACGAAAAAAAUUAGUGAAGAGGAUAAUAAAAAGAGAAAAAUAAAACUAUAGGGUACGAAAGUGAUACACUUUAAAUCACAGGGUACUAAAGCGAGAAAGUGCAAAACUAUAGGGAUGGUAUUUGAAGUUUUUCCUAUAAAAAAUUAUUGUUUUAGUAGCUUAUUUAACGGUAGAUAUUUCAUAUUUAUUGAGGAAUUAAAUUAGAGAAAACUUCAAAUACCACUCCUAUGGUUUCGUACUUUCUCACUUUUGUAUUAUGUGGUUUAAAGUGUAUCAUUUUCGUAUCAUGUGGUUUUAUUUUUCUCUUUUUAUUAUCACAUCCAUUACUUUUUUUUUCGUCAAAUUAGUAACCGAGAUAAAACUAAAGAGUACUAAAGUGAAUAUUUGAUAAACUAUACGUGAUGUAUCUGAAAUUUUUGUAUAUAAUUUAAUAAAAAAUUUACAAAGGGACUGGCGAAAAGAGAAAAAUAAAAUCAUAAAAUACUAAAUUGAUACACUUUAAAACAUAGGAUACUAAAGUGAGAAAGUGCAAAAUUACUGGGUGAUAUUUAAAGUUUACCCAUAAAAUUAAAUGAACGGAUUAAUUGAG
rnacentral:lncRNA from 1 species